rnacentral:rRNA from 1 species
GACGAACGCUGGCGGCGUGCCUAACACAUGCAAGUCAACUUGACUGAAGGAGCAAUCUGACAGUAGAGUGGCGCAAGGGUGCGUAACGCGUAAGUAACUUGCCCAAGGUAAGGAAUAACGUCGAGAAAUCGGCGCUAAUACCUCAUAAUGCAGCGGAUCCGCAUGGAUAUGUUGUUAAAGGUUUACCGCUUGGGAUAGGCUUGCGUCUGAUUAGCUAGUUGGUGUGGUAACGGCACACCAAGGCUACGAUCAGUAACUGGUCUGAGAGGAUG